rnacentral:misc_RNA from 1 species
GAUGAAGAACGUAGCGAAAUGCGAAAAGUAAUGUGAAUUGCAGAAUUCAGUGAAUCAUCGAAUCUUUGAACGCACAUUGCGCCCCCUGGUAUUCCGGGGGGCAUGCCUGUCCGAGCGUCAUUACAACCCUCAAGCUCAGCUUGGUGUUGGGCCCCGCCGCCCCGGCGGGCCCUAAAGUCAGUGGCGGUGCCGUCCGGCUCCGAGCGUAGUAAUUCUUCUCGCUCUGGAGGUCCGGUCGUGUGCUCGCCAGCAACCCCCAAUUUUUUUCAGGUUGACCUCGGAUCAGGUAGGGAUACCCGCUGAACUUAAGCAUAUCAAUAAGCGGAGGA